CCUACGGGAGGCAGCAGUGGGGAAUAUUGCGCAAUGGGCGAAAGCCUGACGCAGCGACGCCGCGUGAGGGAUGAAGGUCCUCUGGAUUGUACACAACUGUCCCCAGGGACGAAGAUGACGGUACCUGGGGAGGAAGCUCCGGCUAACUACGUGCCAGCAGCCGCGGUAAUACGUAGGGAGCAAGCGUUGUCCGGAAUUACUGGGUGUAAAGGGAGCGUAGGCGGGAUGGCAAGUUUGGUGUUAAAUCUCCCGGCUCAACUGGGAGUCGCACUCAACACUGCUAUUCUUGAGUGAAGUAGAGGCAGGCGGAAGUGCUGGUGUAGCGGUGAAAUGCGUAGAUAUUAGGAGGAACACCAGGGGCGAAGGCGGCCUGCUGGGCUUUUACUGACGCUGAGGCUCGAAAGUGUGGGGAGCAAACAGGAUUAGAGACCCCUGUAGUC
rnacentral:rRNA from 1 species